GCGGUGGAUGAUGUGGUUUAAUUCGAUGCAACGACGAAAACCUUACCCACCUUUGACAUGGCAGGAAUCCCGAAGAGAUUUGGGAGUGCUCGAAAGAGAACCUGCACACAGGUGCUGCAUGGCUGUCGUCAGCUCGUGUCGUGAGAUGUUGGGUUAAGUCCCGCAACGAGCGCAACCCUUGCCAUUAGUUGCUACGAAAGGGCACUCUAAUGGGACUGCCGGUGACAAACCGGAGGAAGGUGGGGAUGACGUCAAGUCCUCAUGGCCCUUAUAGGUGGGGCUACACACGUCAUACAAUGGCCGGUACAGAGGGUAGCCAACCCGCGAGGGGGAGCCAAUCCCACAAAGCCGGUCGUAGUCCGGAUCGCAGUCUGCAACUCGACUCCAUGAAGUUGGAAUCGCUAGUAAUCGCAGAUCAGCACGCUGCGGUGAAUACGUUCCCGGGCCUU
rnacentral:rRNA from 1 species